GAGUCUCGCUCAUCAAGGAUUAGAAUUCCUCUCUCAGAUCCACAAUCUGUAGUUCGUUAGCUCUCGUUUGAAACCCUGUUCGUGAAUCUGCAGAAUUAUUUGCAGAAGAAUUCUUAUCCUCAUUCUUUUGUUCGAUCAUAGUCUCCUCAUUAUUCCCAAUCAAUUAUUGGCAAAGAACUGAUCGUUCUUCCGUUCCGCCUUAUAUUGUGGGAAUUGAACUAACAAAUCCACAAGCAAAUAAUGAUAAUUAGCUGGGUAGUGCUACUCAGAGUACCUACUUCUCGGAAACAGGAACAUUCUCAAAGAUCGAGAAGACGAACCACCAUAGAGGUUGUUAAUGCAAAUCAUCUUGGCAGUGGUACUCAGAGUACCUACUUCUCAGAAACAGGAACAUUCUUAAAGUUCAAAAGGACUGGAACAACUGUAGAGGUUCUCUGUAUCCCGGUUCUAGGCCGGGAAAAGACAGUUGGUCUUUGACACUUCAAGUGAAAUCUGAGGGCAGAAUGUAGGUUGAUAAAAGGACUAGUAAAGUUCCAUUCUUAUCACACAAUAAUGCUUUUCCCACUAGUUAGGGGAGGAAAAAAAGUAAUAUGGUGAAGUCCUUUGGGUGUUACUUCUUAGUAGAGCUUGUAGAUCCUCAACUACCCCCUUGAUGAGGACGUGUUGUGCUCGACAAUGCAUCAUGUAUCUAAAGUGAUGGUACAGAUAAAAGAAAGAAAGAUAUUUGUCUAUGCAAGAUGGAAAUGGGACUUAUAAUACAGCAUCAGCAGCGGCCCUUAAGUUGUUUCA